rnacentral:rRNA from 1 species
UCAACCUGAGAGUUUGAUCCUGGCUCAGAGCGAACGCUGGCGGCAGGCCUAACACAUGCAAGUCGAACGGACCCUUCGGGGUUAGUGGCGGACGGGUGAGUAACA